rnacentral:rRNA from 1 species
GACGAACGCUGGCGGCGUGCCUAAUACAUGCAAGUAGAACGCUGAAGGAGGAGCUUGCUUCGCUGGAUGAGUUGCGAACGGGUGAGUAACGCGUAGGUAACCUGCCUGGUAGCGGGGGAUAACUAUUGGAAACGAUAGCUAAUACCGCAUAAUAGUAGAUGUUGCAUGACAUUUGCUUAAAAGGUGCAAUUGCAGCACUACCAGAUGGACCUGCGUUGUAUUAGCUAGUUGGUGGGGUAAAGGCUCACCAAGACGGCGAUACAGAGCCGACCUGAGAGGGGGAUCGGCCACCCUGGGACUUGGACACGGCCCAGACUCCUGCGGGAGGCAGCAGUAUGGUAUCUUCGGCAAUGGACGGAAGUCUGACCCAGCAACGCCGCGUGAGUGAAGAAGGUUUUCGGAUCGUAAAGCUCUGUUGUAAGUGAAGAACGAGUGUGAGAGUGGAAAGUUCGCACUUUGCCGUUAUCUUACCAGAAACGCCCGGCUACCUCCGU